rnacentral:lncRNA from 1 species
GCCCAUCUCAGCUUCCGCUAGUGGAUAGUGCCCAGAAUGAUUUGGCCCAUUCUCCAGCCUGGUCUGGCCCAAACAAUUGGAGUAACUCAGAAUUAGAGUUUAUUAAACUCUGGGUGAUGGAAGGUUUGAGAAAGCAGCUAGCAGAAGAACUACAAACAGUGGAGACGUCAAAGACCGAUCAUGCCUUAAUUGAAGAAGCUAUGAGGUAUGGGAAUGUUUUUGCUUCUUGGGGAAAAAGGGUUUCUGGGCCCUCUCCAUCUCUUUCUUUUCCUUUUGGUCGGACUCCAUUGGGGGAGUAUUACGACUAUUCGGGGGCAGUUAGUGAGGCAGUCCAGGGGGAGAUACCGUUGUGUAUGGUCACUGCAUCUGGGAUUACAGAGGGUGCACCCACGACAUGUUGGGAUUUGAUAGAGGUGAAUAAUGGUAGCAAUAAGGAAAGAAGAAUGGAGUUGUGUUAAGCUCAAUCUGAGCCACAGGAAGAUAGGGAUUGGGAGGAGAAUAGUUGGGAGGAAAGCAGCCUGGCAAGGUUCACCAAUUUCCUGGGCUUCUUGACAGAGGGGUGGAGAAGGAUAUUCUAGCUUUUUUGAUUAAAAUCAGAAAAAGAAGGGAGAGAAUUCAUAGUAAAGGUUUAUUGGAGAAAUCAAAAUUUGAAAGGGAGCUAAAGAGACUAGAGUGCUCAAUUAACCAUGAGGGAGGGAAAAAGCAAAAAUGCCCCAUGCAGGGAAGAGGGUGUCAGAUCACGGAAGUCUAAUGAAGAUCAGAUUGUUGAGUUGGAAUGUGCGUAGAGCAAAUGACAGCUCCAAAAGGAAGUUAAUAAAGGCUCUCAUAAGAAAUCAGAGGGUGGAUUUAUUUCGUCUUCAGGAGACGAAAAUUCAUGCAAUGACUGAGGGUGUGGUGAGGAGUUUGGGCACUGGGAGAUUUUUAGAUUGGGGGGCCUUGGAUGCUUUUGGCUCAGCGGGAGGAAUUUUGAUCUGUUGGGAUAAAAGGACAUUGGAAGUACUAGCUUUGGAGGUAGGUCAAUUUUCAGUCUCUUGUAGGUUCAGGAAUGUGGAAGAUGGGUUUGUCUGGAUGUUCACAGGAGUAUAUGGUCCGUUCUCUAGAGAAGAAAGGGAAUGCCUGUGGGAAGAGCUAGGGGCGAUCAGAGGAAUUUGGGAAGACCCCUGGUGUUUAGGGGGUGAUUUCAAUAUCAUUCUAUUUCAAAGGGAAAGGAGUAGGCAAGGGAGGUUAACAGUAGCGACGAGAAGAUUUGCCUAGAUUGUUGAUGAGUUAGGGCUAGUAGACUUACCUUUGCAAGGGGGGUUGCUCACUUGGAACGGGGGACAAAAUAAUUAGCCUUGGGCUAGAUUGGACAAAUUUCUAGUGACUCAGAAUUGGCUUGACCAGUUUAGUGGAGUCCUUCAGAGCAGGCUGCCUCGACCUACUUCAGAUCAUUUCCCUAUUUUGCUAGAGGGUGGUGGGUUAAGAAGAGGACCUUCCCCUUUUAGAUUUGAAAAUAUGUGGCUCAAAGUGGAAGGUUUCAAGGAUCUCCUAUGGAGUUGGUGGCAGGGGACUGUUGUAAGAGGUAGUGCCAGUUUUAGACUAGUUGCUAAGCUGAAAGAGGUAAAACAAAAAAUCAGAUUUUGGAAUAGGGAUGUUUUUGGAAGGCUGGAAUUUAACAAAAAUUCAGCUCUUCAACAAGUGGAGUUUUGGGAUUUGGUGGAAAGUGAGAGGAGUCUGUCAGAAGAGGAAACAGAGAUAAAAAAGGAAACAAAGGAAAAUUAUAAAAAGUGGGUUCUAUUGGAAGAAAUUCAUUGGAGACAACUUUCAAGGGACAUAUGGUUAAAGGAAGGGGAUAGGAACACAGGUUUCUUUCACCGGCUGGCAAAUGCCCACCGUAGAAAUAACUCUUUGGAUAAAAUUAAGAUAAAUGGGGUGUGGCUGACUGAGGAGCAAGAUGUGAGGGAAGGGGUAGCUAACGCUUUUCAUCAAUUGUUAUCAGAAAAUUCAGAAUGGAAAACUGAUAUUGAGGGGCUGCAACUCAAUCAUCUAAGUACCCAAGAAGUUGAGAGUUUGGAACUACCUUUCUCUGAGGAAGAAAUCCGUUCUGCUUUGAUGGAAAUGAAUGAUGAUAAAGCCCUAGGCCUGGAUAGAUUCACAGUGGCUUUUUGGCAAACUUGUUGGGACUUUGUGAAGGAGGAGAUCUUGGAACUGUUUAAGGAAUUUUAUGAUCAAAGUUUCUUUGUCAAAAGCCUAAAUACUACUUUUCUGGUGCUAAUCCCAAAGAAAGGAGGGGCUGAGGACCUUGGGGAUUUCCGACCUAUAAGCUUGUUAGGGGGACUAUAUAAAUUGUUGGCUAAGGUGUUGGCAGGUUUAAGAAGGUGAUAGGAAAAGUGGUUUCCUUGGAUCAAAAUGCAUUUGUGAUGGGCGGACAGAUCUUGGAUGCUUCUCUAAUAGCAAAUGAGGUGAUUGAUUCUUGGCAAAAAAGAAAAGAGAAAGGGCUAAUUUGUAAAUUGGAUAUAUGAAAAAGCUUAUGACAGCAUCAAUUGGCACUUUAUAAUGAGGGUUAUGCAAAAGAUGGGCUUUGGGUCAAAGUGGAUGGGAUGGAUGUGGAGAUGCAUUUCAACAGUUAAGUUUUCUGUCUUGGUUAAUGGGGUGCUGACAGGGUUCUUUUUCGAGUUCUAAGGGGCUGCAUCAAGGAGACCCCUUACCUCCUUACUUCUUUGUUAUGGAAAUGGAAGUGCUGAGUGUUCUCAUAACAAGGGCUAUUGAUGGGGGCUUUCUCUCAGGGUGCAGAAUUUGGGGAAGAGGAGGGACAGAAAUGAAUAUUUCUCAUUUGCUUUUUGCUGAUGAUACAGUUGUUUUCUGUGAGGCAAAGAAAGAACAUCUAAACUUAUUUGAACUGGANNNNNNNNNNNNNNNNNNNNNNNNNNNNNNNNNNNNNNNNNNNNNNNNNNNNNNNNNNNNNNNNNNNNNNNNNNNNNNNNNNNNNNNNNNNNNNNNNNNNAGGGCUAUGAUGGGGCUUCUCUUCAGGGUGCAGAUUUGGGAGAGGAGGGACAGAAAUGAAUAUUUCUCAUUUGCUUUUUGCUGAUGAUACAGUUGUUUUCUGUGAGGCAAAGAAAGAGCAUCUAACUUAUUUGAACUGGACUUUGUUUUGGUUUGAAGCUGCGUCUGGCUUAAGAAUCAACUUGGGUAAAAGUGAAAUCUUUCCAGUUGGUGAGGUGGAAGAGGUUGAAGAAUUGGUAGUGGAGUUAGGGUGUAGGGUGGGGUCUUUGCCCUCUUCUUACUUGGGCCUGCCCUUAGGGGCUCAUCAUAAUUCUCUUUCUGUGUGGGAUGGGGUGGAAGAGAGAGUGCGGAGGAGAUUAGCGCUUUGGAAAAGACAAUAUAUUUCCAAAGGCGGAAGAAUCACUCUCAUAAAGAGCAUGAUGGCUAGUAUGCCCCUCUACCAGAUGUCUCUCUUUUGAAUGCCCAAGGUAGUUGCAAGAAGACUAGAAAAUUUACAAAGAUUUUCUAUGGGGAGGGGGAAAUUUGGAGAGAAAAGUCCAUUUAGUUAAAUGGGAGGUGGUGUGUGCGGAUAAGGAGAAGGGUGGACUAGGAAUAAGGAAGCUAGCUCUUUUGAACAAGGCCUUGCUUGGCAAAUGGACAUGGAGAUUUGCCUGUGAAAAGGAAAACUUUUGGAAGAAGGUGAUUUCGGUGAAGUAUGGGCAAGAGGGCCUUGGUUGGAGGACAAAUGAAGCUAAUGGGACGUUUGGAGUGGGGGUUUGGAAGGAGAUUUUGAAGGAAACAAACUGGUGCUGGGAAAAUAUAAAGUUCAAAGUUGGUAAUGACACUAAAAUAAGAUUCUGGACUGAUCAUUAGUGUGGCAUUGCAGCGUUGUCUCAAAGCUUGCCCCAAUUAUAUGCUUUGGCUGUCCAUAGGAAUGCAACGGUGGAUGAAGUGAGGGAUUCGUUUUUUGGUCAAGGAAGAUGGAAUCUAAGAUUCAUUAGAGCUUUUAAUGAUUGGGAGCUGGAUUUGGUAGGAGACUUGUUAACUAUUUUGAGGGGCUACAGGCUAACUUUAGAGGAGGAUUUAGUUACUUGGAAGGGUGGGGGAAAUGGAAAGUUUGGUGUUAAGGAAGCGUACAAUCUGUUGUUUGCUCCCAAUGACAUUUCCUUUCUGAAGAAUUGCAUUUGGGUGGAUAGAGGCCCUAACCAAAGUUGCCUUUUUUGCUUGGGAGGCUACGUGGGGGAAGGUUCUUACCCUAGAUAGACUCCAAAAAAGAGGGUGGCAGCUCCCAAAUCGUUGUUUUUUGUGCGGCUGUGAAGAAGAAACUGUAAAUCAUAUUAUUUUACACUGUAUAGUGGUCAGAGUCCUUUGGGAGAUUGCCCUUGUCUUGUUUGGCAUUCAGUGGGUGUUCCCUGAAACAGUAAAAGAGGUGUUAUCUAGUUGGAGGGGCCCUUUUGUGGGCAAAAAAAAGAAAAAGAUCUGGAAAUCCAUUUCGUUGUGUAUUUUUUGAACGGUUUGGAAGGAAAGGAAUAGAUUAACUUUUAGGGGGGGCUAUUUAACAAUACAGAAACUCAAAAUUCUUUUGUUUGUAAUUUGUGGAGUUGGGCUAGUGUGUAUAUUGGAGAGGAGUCCUCUCUCUUAAAGUGGUUAGCUUUCACUUAAGGGCUGGUGAGGUUUUUUUGUUUCAUAGCUUGCUCUUAGAGGUUUAGGCUACCUUGUAUGCAUCAUGUAUGCUUUGUGGCUGUUUGCCUUUUGAUAAUAUACUUCAGGUUUAUUUAUCAAAAAUAAUAAUAAUAAUAAUAAUAAUAAUAAUAAUAAUAAUAAUUUAUUGAUUUUAAUUUUUCUUCACUUUUUAUUUUCUUUUACUUUUCUUCCUUUUUAUUUUCUUUCCCUCGCAUUUUCCUUCAAAAUUUUCGGGAACCAAACAUAGCCUAAGGGAAAUUUAUUUUAGUUUCAAAGAUGUUGGAUGUGCAUUGUCAAAGAUUCUUCUGUGUGAUGCACCUCCCAAAUGUACAAAUGAGUCAAAGAGGCGUACAAAUGAGUCAAAGAGGCUUAACUUCUGAAUGUUCUUUCAAUCUGCAUUCUCAACAAUAAUCAACCAUCAACAAAACAGAUCCUUUGUGAUCUUGGCACAAUCAAAGGACUCUGAAAGAAGAAAAUCCCAAAGCUCCUGGGGUACCAAACAGUAAGCAAAGAGAAGGUUUACUUACUCAGCCAUCCUUUUGCAUGUUGUACACCUCCUUGAGAUUGCUAUCUUUUACAUCCACUGUUCAGCAUUUACCACUAAUCCUGGUCUGCAUGAGAAAGCCACUUUUGAGGGAUAAUA